rnacentral:rRNA from 1 species
UUGUUCGCAAUGGGCGCAAGCCUGACGACGCAACGCCGCGUGGAGGAUGAAGACCUUCGGGUCGUAAACUCCUUUCGAUCGAGACGAAUGGCCUUUGGGUUAAUAGCCCGGAGGAAUGACGGUACCGAGAGAAGAAGCCCCGGCUAACUCCGUGCCAGCAGCCGCGGUAAUACGGGGGGGGCAAGCGUUGUUCGGAAUUACUGGGCGUAAAGGGCUCGUAGGUGGCCAACUAAGUCAGACGUGAAAUCCCUCGGCUUAACCGGGGAACUGCCUCUGAUACUGGAUGGCUUGAGUUUGUGAGAGGGACGCGGAAUUCCAGGUGUAGCGGUGAAAUGCGUAGAUAUUUGGAGGAACACCGGUGGCGAAGGCGGCGUCCUGACCAACACGACACGAGGAGCGA